rnacentral:snRNA from 1 species
CUCUCUUCGCGGAUUUCCGCUCUGAUCAAGAUGAAGUACUGUUCUUUUUUGGAUUAAUCUCUGAGAAGUUCCCUACGGGGUCCCAGUGAUUCACCCAGUUUUUGGAACCAGUGCUGGUGAGCUCUGAGCUCCGCUCAUCUCGCCAGCUCACAGUGUCGCUCGUAUUACACUGCCUCGGGCUGACGCGAACUUUCU